rnacentral:lncRNA from 1 species
AGCUCGGUUGGGGUGUUUGACGGAGAGAGGUAGCUAUCCAUCCGAGAGAAACUCAGAUGCUGCUGGCGAGCCUUCUACCGUUGGGUGCCUUGGGCAUUAAUACUGCAGGCGAGGGCCAUUCGCUGUAGGAGCUCGGUCAGAGGCUUUCCGUAGAUGAAGUUUGAUUUCAUGCAGAAUUCGAUAGUGGGUCGGCCUGCAGUGGAUGUCGGAUGGCACUGGAGAGGUUCAUCCGCUGGAGGGGUCCGGCUGCUGGGGUCCAUG